rnacentral:rRNA from 1 species
UACGUAGGGUGCAAGCGUUAAUCGGAAUUACUGGGCGUAAAGCGUGCGCAGGCGGUUUUGUAAGUCUGACGUGAAAUCCCCGGGCUCAACCUGGGAAUUGCGUUGAAGACUGCAAGGCUAGAAUCUGGCAGAGGGGGGUAGAAUUCCACGUGUAGCAGUGAAAUGCGUAGAGAUGUGGAGGAACACCGAUGGCGAAGGCAGCCCCCUGGGUCAAGAUUGACGCUCAUGCACGAAAGCGUGGGGAGCAAACAGG